CCUACGGGAGGCAGCAGUAAGGAAUAUUGGUCAAUGGACGAAAGUCUGAACCAGCCAUGCCGCGUGAAGGAUGAAGGUCCUCUGGAUUGUAAACUUCUUUUAUCUGGGACGAAAAAAGGGCAUUCUUGCUCACUUGACGGUACCAGAGGAAUAAGCACCGGCUAACUCCGUGCCAGCAGCCGCGGUAAUACGGAGGGUGCAAGCGUUAUCCGGAUUCACUGGGUUUAAAGGGUGCGUAGGUGGGUUGGUAAGUCAGUGGUGAAAUCUCCGAGCUUAACUCGGAAACUGCCAUUGAUACUAUCAGUCUUGAAUUUUCUGGAGGUAAGCGGAAUAUGUCAUGUAGCGGUGAAAUGCUUAGAUAUGACAUAGAACACCCAUUGCGAAGGCAGCUUACUACGGGAUAAUUGACACUGAGGCACGAAAGCGUGGGGAUCAAACAGGAUUAGAUACCCUGGUAGUCCACGCCCUAAACGAUGGAUACUCGACAUCAGCGAUACACUGUUGGUGUCUGNGNGAGANAUAGUAUCCACCNGGAGACGACGCGAGUAGAACGACGAAGAGUAGUAGACGNGAGAGAGACGACGACGACGACGACGGAGGGAGGAGG
rnacentral:rRNA from 1 species